AUUGAGUGCAAAUCGUUGAAUAGGUAAUUUCUGUAUUUUUCUAUAUGUCAGUAUUUGGGUGCUUGAAUUUGCCUGCAGGACCUGGAUGGUAGGUUGUUACUUGCUCUGAAUGUUUAUUAUUGCUACUGAAUUUAUGGGCUGGAAAUGGAAUAGAAAUGAUAAUCUUUGAUGAUUAUGUGUUACAAUUACAAUUGCAUAUAAUGGAACAUUCUCAGGUCACUUCAAUUAGUCUGUGAUUAAUAUAUUUCAGCUUUUUUUUUUUUUGGAA
rnacentral:misc_RNA from 1 species